rnacentral:tRNA from 1 species
GGCCUGAUGGUCUAGGAGUAUGAUUCGUUGUUAGGGUUAAGUUCUGCCUUUCGACGAGGUCCCGGGUUCAAUUCCCGGUCAGGCCC